GAUGAACGCUAGCGGCAGGCUUAAUACAUGCAAGUCGUGGGGCAGCAGGUUUGUAGCAAUACAGAUGCUGGCGACCGGCAAACGGGUGCGGAACACGUACACAACCUUCCUUCAAGUGGGGAAUAGCCCAGGGAAACUUGGAUUAAUACCCCGUAACAUUAUAAAGUGGCAUCACUUUAUAAUUAUAGCUCCGGCGCUUGAUGAUGGGUGUGCGCCUGAUUAGGUAGUUGGCGGGGUAACGGCCCACCAAGCCUGCGAUCAGUAACUGGUGUGAGAGCACGACCAGUCACACGGGCACUGAGACACGGGCCCGACUCCUACGGGAGGCAGCAGUAAGGAAUAUUGGUCAAUGGACGCAAGUCUGAACCAGCCAUGCCGCGUGGAGGAUGAAGGUCCUCUGGAUUGUAAACUUCUUUUAUCUGGGAAGAAAUCUACUUUUUCUAAAGUGGUUGACGGUACCAGAUGAAUAAGCACCGGCUAACUCCGUGCCAGCAGCCGCGGUAA
rnacentral:rRNA from 1 species